UACGGAGGGUGCAAGCGUUAUCCGGAUUUACUGGGUUUAAAGGGUGCGUAGGAGGGCAGGUAAGUCAGUGGUGAAAUCUUCGAGCUUAACUCGGAAACUGCCGUUGAUACUAUCUGUCUUGAAUCCCGUGGAGAUGAGCGGAAUAUGUCAUGUAGCGGUGAAAUGCUUAGAUAUGACAUAGAACACCAAUUGCGAAGGCAGCUCGUUACACGAAGAUUGACUCUGAGGCACGAAAGCGUGGGGAUCAAACAGG
rnacentral:rRNA from 1 species